GGCUUGCGCGGACCGGGGAAGCAUGUCUGGCUUCGCAGGAAAGCAGGAGGAGGCAGCCGAGGGCGGGGGGAAAUUGAGUCCUCUUUGGGCUACUCAACUCUGCUAAAAUCCCCCACCGUCCGUCACGGUGGACGAGUAGGGGUUUUUUUCUCUUUCACUUUUACUCCAAGAAGAGUUUGUGGGCAGGCAGGGAGGUCUCACGGGGACUCUGCCAAAGCAACCGAAAGCUCUGCGGGGCAGCCCCUCUGCCACUCAGCGAUCCGAGGCCCCGGGAAGGUCUAGAAGUGCGCUUGUCGGAGUCCAGGGAAAUAGACAGACGGUUGGAAAAAAAACUGAAGAUCACACAAAAAGAGAGGAAAUCCAAAUCUCCUCCCAAAGUGCCCAUUGUGAUUCAGGACGAUAGCCUUCCCGCGGGGCCCCCUCCACAGAUCCGCAUCCUCAAGAGGCCCACCAGCAACGGUGUGGUCAGCAGCCCCAACUCCACCAGCAGGCCCACCCUUCCAGUCAAGUCCCUAGCACAGCGAGAGGCCGAGUACGCUGAGGCCCGGAAGCGGAUCCUGGGCAGCGCCAGCCCCGAGGAGGAGCAGGAGAAACCCAUCCUCGACAGGCCAACCAGGAUCUCCCAACCCGAAGACAGCAGGCAGCCCAAUAAUGUGAUCAGACAGCCUUUGGGUCCUGAUGGGUCACAAGGCUUCAAACAGCGCAGAUAAAUGCAGGCAAGAAAAGAUGCCGCCGUUGCUGCCGUCACCGCCUCCUGGGUCGUCUGCCACGGGUUGCACUGCCGUGGCAGACAGCUGGACUUGAGCAGAGGGAACGACCUGACUUACUUGCACUGUGAUCCCC
rnacentral:sRNA from 1 species